AGAGAGGUGGCUGAGUGGUCGAAAGCGGCACCUUGCUAAGGUGUUGUACUGGUAACGGUACCGGGGGUUCGAAUCCCUUCCUCUCUACCA
rnacentral:tRNA from 1 species